CAUUUAGAGGAAGUAAAAGUCGUAACAAGGUUUCCGUAGGUGAACCUGCGGAAGGAUCAUUAAUACGCUUUUGUUUGUAACAAAACAAGACGUUUUAAACCCCAAAAAUUGAAUAGUGGAAAUAUAACUUCCGGAUUUGCGAAUGUUGGAGAACUCGAGUAAAAUCGGGUUCUCUGAAAAAGGGACUUCAAGCAAUUGACACUUCAGAGUAGAGCAGUGAGGUGAAACUUUCGCAAGAGAGUUUGGUUCUGAAACACAUUUGUAUCCGGUUAUCUAAAUCUGUUCUACCAAAAUAUCAAACAAUAAACCCCAUGUACAACAACUUGAACUAAACAUUUUUUUGUUGUCUACUGCUCUUGCAGCCAGAUACACAAAGAAAAAACCUGAACUUAGAACAACUCUUAACAACGGAUAUCUUGGUUCUC
rnacentral:misc_RNA from 1 species